rnacentral:tRNA from 3 species
UGGAUUGUAGCUUAAUUAGAAGCAUCUCAGUUACGUUGGGAAGAUCACUAAAUGUAGUGUAGUCCAA